UCUAUAUACAUUAUGGAAUCUGUACAUGUUUGAGUUGGUCUUAUAUUCUAGUUUGUUUCCCUUUUACAGCUUUGUUAACUGUGGAUACAUUGCUAUGCUGUUCCACUAAUUGUCACCUGAAGAGUCUAUGAAAGAUCCAUUAUACGUUGUGCUAGCGAGAUGUCAAAACCGCUUCAAAAAGUUCAGGCGGAACUAGAAAGAGAGUGUGAGGCUCGACAAAACAUAGAAGCCCGUUUCGAACUAUUUCAACAAGAGCGUGAAAAAGAGCGGGCCGACCAAGACGCAUGGCGAAAAAAUAUGGAAGAAAUGGUGAAAAACAUCGGAAAGAAGUAAACAAAGCUCUCGUUUUGUUAAGUAUUGGAAUGUUGGAUUAGUUUUGAAUCAAAAAACUUGCUCUUAAUUAGGAUUUUUUUGUGUGUUUUGGAACUUCUGGAAUGUUUUAGAAUCUUGCUUGUUGCAAAUGUUUUGGAAUGUUUUAUAAUUUUGAUUGCUGUUA